rnacentral:lncRNA from 10 species
CAAACACAGCCUAAGCUCAACUCCUCCCAACAAACCCCAUGAAAGCACUGAGCUCUGUAAAGAAGAGCCAAUUUCACUUCACAGAGAUCAGCCCGCCCUCCCUCUGAGAGUGUAUAACUGUGCUUCAACAAGCUUUGUUUCAAGCUUGCAUUUUGGUGUUAGUUUGCAUUUCUUUGCUCACUAUCACAAGAACCGAGACUGCUGAUCUAGAGCUCCAGCUCUGUUGAUCUCCUUGGCUGAAGGGUCCAUCCCAACUCAAGAUCCCAGAAUGUCCUGUAUCAUUUUAAUGACUGGAGUGUGACUUUGUUCUCAGCACAAUGAGUAACAAAGCCAAAACACUGGAGAAUACGUUUACGUAUUCAAGAAAACCUCAGACAAGGAAGAAUGCUUUCAUAAUACAGUACAUUAAAAUCAGACGAAGCCUCGAAGGGCAGAAUCACCGACCCUGAAAAAUCAGAGUGUACUACAGAAGAAGACGACAGCGUUUGAGCACAUUUGUUGAAGCAGCCUCCUCUCCCUUAUGGUACGAUAAUCCCACACCGUUUUACCAUGCUCUCUGGCCUUCCCAGAACAUCAAUAAAAACUGCAUCCCCUGACUUUUCUUGGUGGUUUCUGUUAUCUUCCCUAAACUUUAAUUUAAUGUGAUCUUACUUAGGCAUUUCUCUUAGAGAGUAGGUCAUUAUAACGAAGCAUUUUUCACCCUCUGGGAAAGAGGUUUCCACAUAAGGGCCAGGCCACGUUUUCCCUUUCAUCCAGGGAUUCUACCAUAAGCAGCCUCUCAUCUUCACUUUUCCCAAAAAUUUUCUUAAAAUCAGUGUAUUUUUUUGCAGGACCGGAUAUCACAUUACAUUCUCUAGUUGGGGGUGGGGGGCGGGAUGGGAAGUGAGAACAAAGAACGAUAACUCCCGAAGUGAUUUUUUAAAAUGUAAACUUUCUUAUGAAGCAUAACAUAGACACGUGCCAACAUUAAGCGUACAGCUCCAUGAAAUUUUAUGCAGACACUCACUCAUGAAACCACAACUAGAACAGGAAAUAGGAUUUUGCCAGCACUCCUAUAAGGCACCUUGCAGUCGCUCCCCUCCCCUACCCCACUCCAGAACAUAACAAGCUCAUUUUCUGACUUCUAUCACUGUAGAUUAAUUUGCCGCUUUUCCAAACUUCCGUAAAUGGAAUCGGACAGUACAUACUCUUUGGUACCUGGCUCAAUAUUCUGUUCCUUGAGUGUGCUGAAGCAGUCAUUUGUUCAAUUUUAUUGCUGACUCAUAUUCUGUGCUAUGAAAAUGUAACAAUUUAUUUUUCCAUUCUACCACUAAUGGGCCUCUAGAGUCUUUCUACUAUUUGACCAUAAUGGAAAAUGCUGCAAUAAAAAUUGUUGUGCACGUCUUUUGAGAGCACAUGUACCUAUUUCUGUGGAUAUAUACCUAGACGUGUAAUAUCUGGGUCAUAAAUAGUCGUGUGCCUAUGCAGGCUUGCAGUGCCUCAUGAGAGCCUAGUUUUUGCAGUCUAAUUGUUAAAAAUAGCCAUAACUGAAAAUUAAGUUAUGUAAAC